rnacentral:lncRNA from 1 species
CCCUUAUUCUGCCGACAGUGACACUGGGGUUUUCCCUUCUCUCAAGGAUCUCAGUCUUACAUGAGUAUUAGUCAAAACCUGACAUAUAUAAAACAGUGGCUUUAUAUAUUUUCACAAGUUUUAUGCUUGUUUAUAGUAGGAAAUCUAAUCUUUGUCAAUUAUUCCAUCAUGACCUGAGCCUUUUUUCUUUUCUUUUUUUUCUAAAGAAGAGCAAUUUAUUUUCUUACAGUUCUGGAGGCUGGAAGAGUACAAUUCAAUCCACAGUACACCUUGGAAAGGGCUCGGGAUCUGAAUUUUUAAUGACCACCUCUAGUUAUGGUUGAGGCAGUUGGUCACACAGUGUCUUCCAUUGUCUGCCUGUGUUUUUAUAGCCUUCUCUGUUGUGGCUCUAGGUCGAGAAGUGGUCAAGAUGCCUUGAGCUUCUCAUUGCUUCCCAUAUCCCUAAGCCCUUCCUUCCUUCCUAGCAUUCAUGCACACAGUUCCCUCUUGGAAUCUUGUACUUUUCCCCAUUACCUUUUUCACAUAUUUAUGUGUUACAUAAAACCAG